ACAGGAGCAAGACCCAAGAGCUGUCCCACCGAGGCUCCCUGCACAGGUGAGAGGACCACGUUGCCCCCCAGCACUAGAUGGCCCAAUCCUCCAGGCUCAGGUCCCAUCCCUGGCAUCUUCUCCCUGCCUGGGAUCCUCUGCCUCAUCCUGGGAUCCCUGCUCUUCCUGGUCCUCAUCAUCCUGGGGACUCAGCUGCACAGAUGGAGAGCAGAACACAGAGGUGGGCCCUGGAGGGGUACACUGGGGAAGAGGGAAGGAGUGUCAGUAGGACAAGGUACAGAUAUUACCAGCAGAAAAGUGCACAUGUUCAAGUCUUCACUCCCAUUAUCUGGCAAGUCUCCCCAGUCUCUUCAAUAGA
rnacentral:lncRNA from 1 species